AUAUUGAUUACCUCCGCGUUGCAAACGGAGUCAUGCAAUCGCUCGCGUGUGUGUGUUCGUGUGUGUGUGUAGCGAGCAGCGAGCGAGC